AACGAACGCUGGCGGCAUGCCUAACACAUGCAAGUCGAACGAGACCUUCCGGUCUUUUUGCGCACGGGUGCUUAACGCGUGGUAACCUUCCCUUAGGUUCCGUAUAACUCCCCUUAAGGUGUGCUCAUACCGGUUAAUGUCUUCGGACCAAAGAUUUCUGGCCUUUGGUUGGGCCCGCGUUGGUUUCGCUAGUUGGUAGGGUAAAAGCCUACCAAGGCGACGAUCCAUAGCUGGUCUGAGAGGAUGAUCAGCCACACUGGGACUGAGACACGGCCCAGACUGGUACGGGAAGCAGGAGAGGGGAAUAUAGGAGAAGGGGCGAAAGGAUGAGCCAGCAAGGCCGCGUGAGUGAGGAAGGGGGUAGGGAAGUAAAGCUGUUUGAGACGGGAAGAGAAUGACAGUAACGGGAGAAUAAGCACCGGCUAACUACGUG
rnacentral:rRNA from 1 species